UACGUAGGGGGCAAGCGUUGUCCGGAUUUAUUGGGCGUAAAGAGCGUGUAGGCGGCCGUACAGGUCAGCUGUGAAAACUCGAGGCUCAACCUCGAGACGUCGGUUGAAACCGUACGGCUAGAGUCCGGAAGAGGAGAGUGGAAUUCCCGGUGUAGCGGUGAAAUGCGCAGAUAUCGGGAAGAACACCCGUGGCGAAGGCGGCUCUCUGGGCCACUACUGACGCUGAGAAGCGAAAGCAUGGGGAGCGAACAGG
rnacentral:rRNA from 1 species